UGGGGAAUCUUGGACAAUGGGCGCAAGCCUGAUCCGGCCAUACCGCGUGAGUGAAGAAGGCCCUCGGGUUGUAAACCGCUUUCAGAAGGAACGAAACUGACGGUACUUUCAGAAGAAGGUGCGGCCAACUACGUGCCAGCAGCCGCGGUGACACGUAGGCACCAAGCGUUGUCCGGAUUUAUUGGGCGUAAAGAGCUCGUAGGCGGUUCAGUAAGUCGGGUGUGAAAACUUUGGGCUUAACCCAAAGCGUGCAUCCGAUACUGCUGUGACUUGAGUACGGUAGGGGAGCGGGGAAUUCCUAGUGUAGCGGUGAAAUGCGCAGAUAUUAGGAGGAACACCGGUGGCGAAGGCGCCGCUCUGGGCCGAAACUGACGCUGAGGAGCGAAAGCAUGGGUAGCAAACAGGAUUAGAUACCCGGGUAGUCCCUGAGCGGGCUGGCAAGGCGCAU
rnacentral:rRNA from 1 species